GGCGUGCUUAACACAUGCAAGUCGAACGAUGAAGCCCAGCUUGCUGGGUGGAUUAGUGGCGAACGGGUGAGUAACACGUGAGUAACCUGCCCUUUCCUCUGGGAUAACUCCGGGAAACCGGUGCUAAUACUGGAUAUGACUCUUGCCUGCAUGGGUGGGGGUGGAAAGAUUUAUCGGGAUUGGAUGGACUCGCGGCCUAUCAGCUUGUUGGUGGGGUAAUGGCCUACCAAGGCGACGACGGGUAGCCGGCCUGAGAGGGUGACCGGCCACACUGGGACUGAGACACGGCCCAGACUCCUACGGGAGGCAGCAGUGGGGAAUAUUGCACAAUGGGCGGAAGCCUGAUGCAGCGACGCCGCGUGAGGGAUGACGGCCUUCGGGUUGUAAACCUCUUUCAGCUCUGACGAAGCUUUUGUGACGGUAGGAGCAGAAGAAGCACCGGCUAACUACGUGCCAGCAGCCGCGGUAAUACGUAGGGUGCGAGCGUUGUCCGGAAUUAUUGGGCGUAAAGAGCUUGUAGGCGGUUUGUCGCGUCUGCUGUGAAAUCCCGGGGCUUAACUCCGGGCUUGCAGUGGGUACGGGCAGGCUAGAGUAUGGUAGGGGAGACUGGAAUUCCUGGUGUAGCGGUGGAAUGCGCAGAUAUCAGGAGGAACACCGAUGGCGAAGGCAGGUCUCUGGGCCAUUACUGACGCUGAGAAGCGAAAGCGUGGGGAGCGAACAGGAUUAGAUACCCUGGUAGUCCACGCCGUAAACGUUGGGCGCUAGGUGUGGGUCCCAUUCCACGGGGUCCGUGCCGCAGCUAACGCAUUAAGCGCCCCGCCUGGGGAGUACGGCCGCAAGGCUAAAACUCAAAGGAAUUGACGG
rnacentral:rRNA from 1 species